GGCAGUUUGCGCCGUGGCUCCAGCCAACGAUCCCGCCAUGAACCUCUCAUGGGUCUGGACCUUCCCCGGUUCACUGGCCAGCAGCUUCUUAUACUGAGGAGACACUUCAAUUGUGAAAACCUACCACAUCCACCUCAAAGACGCCUCCUCCAUCUUCAAAUUUGAGGAAAACCCAGUUAGCAUGUUGCUGCAGCAGAGCCAUGGCCGUCCAAAGCCUUCAACGGAUCUGCAGAGCCACAAAGUUCCUGUUUCCCUUCACACGAUUCUAAUAAAGAGCCAGAAUCUUUGCUGAA